GGAUAACCUUGAAAAAAAUCCCUUCAUCGCCAUGUAUUUCUGCCAUGAAUUGGCUAUCAAUUUUCCCCUCGGCUUCGCUUAGAUAGCUCACUAAGGCAUCCAAUUCUAUUUGGUCACCAGCUUUGCAUUUCACAGGUUCUUUCCAAAGAAGAUUUCCUGUUCUUGAAGCAACUAUGACACUUCUCCAGAUAAUUGCUAGAACCUCAAUUGAAGUUGGGGACUGGACAAACAGGGAUCUACUUGCUUCUGCCUUGAGCUGUCUUAUCGCCAAUGCAUCGAACACAAAUCUUCUCCAAGCACGCUUUCCUUUUCUGAACAUAGCGGGCUAAGUGAAAUGGAGCAAUAAAACGGGGAUAUGCUGCUUGUGAUGUAAAACAAGCAGUAGUUGACCGAGCUUUCAUAAAGGUGCAAAAUGAUGGCCCAUCAAAGACCUUGUGAGAAACACCAGCACAAAUAGCUAUAACGCCGCACAAAUGUGUUUACUUGAACCAGAAGAACAUAAUUACCUAAUUUUGAUGAAUCUGCUGGGUUUCAGGGAAAGAACUAGUGCAUAAAAUGGCUCUCCGUUUAUUUCAAGAAAUGUUGAUAGGUGAAAAGUUUUCACUUGGGCUUCGAUGAAAUAAACUCCCUCGUCACUGCAAUCAAUGUAAAGGCCAUGUUUGAUCUUUCCUGCAAACGGGUAAAAGUGAGAUGGCAGUUACAAGCAUGACUAGUUGUGGAAGAACUUGGCCAGAUCAUGAGAACAUGACGAGACAGACAAACAUGGAGCAUGGUUGAAAAUGCUUUUGAGGCAACUAAGUUCUGCAAACUGCCUGCUGCCUUGUUGGAAGAGAGAAUCACCAAGUUCAUGGAGGAACACAAGAGCAAACUGCUGAGGAGGGAGUAAUAGCUCAAUAAAUAGGCUGCAAUUGCUAUCGCUGUGGUUGUUGAAGAAGAAUCGAAUAAUCAAGGACGGAGAACAGGGUAUCGUGGCUCUAUUCUUGGUCAUAAUAUUGUCAAUCGUAUAGAAAGGAAGAUCUUACUGAUGAAUAUCUUCGAAUUGGAGAAACCACUAUGAUAGAAAGUCUUAGAGCUUUUGUUAAAGCAAUCGUAGAAGUUUUCGGUGAUUGGUAUCUAAGGGCACCAAACGAGGCCGAUAUUUGUCGAUUAUUGUCAAUUGGAGAGCAGCGUAGAUUUCCAGGGAUGUUAGAGAGCAUUGACUGUAUGCAUUGGAAAUGGGAGAAAUGCCCAAUUGCAUGGCAUGGGAUGUAUACUGGUCAUUGUCGUGAACCAACUAUAAUUCUAGAGGUGGUGACUUAACAAGAUAUUUGGAUAUGACAUCUCUUUUUUGGAAUGCCUGGAUCAUUAAAUGAUAUUAAUGUUCUUGAUUGGUCACUUA